UACGUAGGGGGCAAGCGUUGUCCGGAAUCAUUGGGCGUAAAGCGCGUGUAGGCGGCUUGGUAAGUCUGCUCUGAAAGCCCGGGGCUCAACCCCGGGAGGCGGGUGGAUACUGUCAAGCUCGAGUCCGGAAGAGGAGUGUGGAAUUCCUGGUGUAGCGGUGAAAUGCGUAGAUAUCGGGAGGAACACCAGUGGCGAAGGCGAGUCUCUGGGAUGAUGCUGACGCUGAGGCGCGAAAGCCAGGGGAGCAAACGGG
rnacentral:rRNA from 1 species